GACGAACGCUGGCGGCGUGCUUAACACAUGCAAGUCGAACGGAAAGGCCCUGCUUUUGUGGGGUGCUCGAGUGGCGAACGGGUGAGUAACACGUGAGUAACCUGCCCUUGACUUUGGGAUAACUUCAGGAAACUGGGGCUAAUACCGGAUAGGAGCUCCUGCUGCAUGGUGGGGGUUGGAAAGUUUCGGCGGUUGGGGAUGGACUCGCGGCUUAUCAGCUUGUUGGUGGGGUAGUGGCUUACCAAGGCUUUGACGGGUAGCCGGCCUGAGAGGGUGACCGGCCACAUUGGGACUGAGAUACGGCCCAGACUCCUACGGGAGGCAGCAGUGGGGAAUAUUGCACAAUGGGCGGAAGCCUGAUGCAGCAACGCCGCGUGCGGGGUGACGGCCUUCGGGUUGUAAACCGCUUUCGCCUGUGACGAAGCGUGAGUGACGGUAAUGGGUAAAGAAGCACCGGCUAACUACGU
rnacentral:rRNA from 1 species